UCACUCUGCGUCCGAGAAGGGAAUGGUUCAGCCCAAAGCCAGAUACAGAAGAAGUUGUUUCUCCGCCGCAAAAAACGACCCUUCGUUUUUCUUCUAUCGUUUAAUUCUCAAAUGUAUCCAUUCUCGAAAUACCCAGGGUCUGCCCUCUGACGCUAAAAAAAAAAAAAAAAACCCAAACCGUCCACGCAAUGGUAGCGUCCGCCUGGGUAGCGGUCGAUCGGGAUGGAGCACACCAUUCAAAGAGGGGGAGUGAUUGAGCGGAGCUGAGAGCCAGUGGGAAAGAUUACUCCGGGAAGGACAAAGGUCCGGAAGUUAUGGGACCUUAGCAGCUUGGACUUUCCGGAUCACCCCGAACCACUUCGGAAAGGAGCCCGAGGUUCCAUUGGGAUGCUGCACGUUCUAAAAUCCUGAGCCAUGAAUCCCCGAGCUUUUGACAUCCGAAAGUCCCAGACCCUGAUGCUUUGUGCAUCUUAUUUCACACACCCUGGGAUGGAGUUAGUGGUGGUGGGGAAGAGCCCCUUAGGCCGGCUCAAGGUUCCCCAAAGCCCCAUUCCCCCGCCCAA